UUGAUUGUAUCAGUUAUACAUUAAAUACCCAACCACAAAAGUCUAAAGAAAGCAUUGUGCGCUUAUACAAGUGGAAGUCACCAAUGCCAAACUCAACAGUAAAUCCAAGCACUAGAACAGAAAACCAACAUACAUAGCAGAAGUCAUUCAUUUUUAAUUUUGAUUUAGUGUAAACAUCCAAUACUUUCCUGAAAGGGCGAUGCACAUUGACUAGAAGGUAAAAGAGAGACACAAAAGAAAUUAAUUGCCACGAAGAUAACUAUCAAUUCAAUAUCAAGAACUUAAAUUAGCUGGUGUCAGAGCCAAGAUCACAAUUACAGAAUCAUAUGUGGCAAAAUAAAGGCAACAAAAAAUACACUUCCACUAGUGUAGUUAACUGAUUGCCAGUUCAAACAAAUAUAAUUAAGCAUCAUAUCAUGAAAUAUUUACCCCUAAAAACAUGUUUGAAGCGCCAAUUAUUUCCUUGCAGAUCAGUUGCAUCCAAGUACUGAUAAGGUACCUCCUCGGACAGUU
rnacentral:misc_RNA from 1 species